rnacentral:rRNA from 1 species
GAAAAGAAACUAACAAGGAUUCCCCUAGUAACUGCGAGUGAACCGGGAAAAGCUCAAAUUUUGAAUCUGGCGGUCUUUAUGGCCGUCCGAGUUGUAAUCUAGAGAAGCGUCUUCCGCGCUGGACCGUGUAUAAGUUUCCUGGAAUGGAACGUCGUAGAGGGUGAGAAUCCCGUCUUUGACACGGACUGCCAGGGCUAUGUGAUGCGCUCUCGACGAGUCGAGUUGUUUGGGAAUGCAGCUCAAAUAGGGUGGUAAAUUCCAUCUAAAGCUAAAUACAGGCGAGAGACCGAUAGCGAACAAGUACCGUGAGGGAAAGAUGAAAAGAACUUUGGAAAGAGAGUUAAACAGUACGUGAAAUUGCUGAAAGGGAAACGCUUGAUGUCAGUCGCGUUCGUCGGGGAUCAGCCUUGCUCUUUUGCUCGGUGUACUUCCUGGCGGACGGGUCAGCAUCAGUUUUGUUCGUCGGAAAAUGGCUCGAGAAAUGUGGCACUCUUCGGGGUGUGUUAUAGACUCGGGUCGAAUACGACGUCCGGGACUGAGGAACUCAGCACGACCUUUGGGUUCGGGGCUUAGGCCCACGUUAACGUGCUUAGGAUGCUGGCAUAAUGG